UGGGGAAUAUUGGACAAUGGGCGAAAGCCUGAUCCAGCCAUGCCGCGUGUGUGAAGAAGGUCUUCGGAUUGUAAAGCACUUUAAGUUGGGAGGAAGGGCAGUAAGCGAAUACCUUGCUGUUUUGACGUUACCGACAGAAUAAGCACCGGCUAACUCUGUGCCAGCAGCCGCGGUAAUACAGAGGUGCAAGCGUUAAUCGGAAUUACUGGGCGUAAAGCGCGCGUAGGUGGUUCGUUAAGUUGAAUGUGAAAGCCCCGGGCUCAACCUGGGAACUGCAUCCAAAACUGGCGAGCUAGAGUAGGGCAGAGGGUGGUGGAAUUUCCUGUGUAGCGGUGAAAUGCGUAGAUAUAGGAAGGAACACCAGUGGCGAAGGCGACCACCUGGGCUCAUACUGACACUGAGGUGCGAAAGCGUGGGGAGCAAACAGG
rnacentral:rRNA from 1 species